UUUUAUCAUUGACAUAUAUACAUGUCAAUGGUGUGCACACAGGUCUCCGCCAAGUUGUAUAUGGUUAAUGUCGCCUGUUACUUUAGACUGAAUAAGUUCCACAUGGUUUUCUGGAAGUUUAUCAAUAACCGCUUGGGUUCAUAAAGUAAGGACUCCUCAUAUAUUUCAACAUGGUGUCAGAAGAGGGAUGAAUUCAUCGCCUCCAAGUUCCACGUGACUUUUUGUUUUUGUCUCGAGCGGACACACACAACUAAGUAGAAAUAAUGGCGGAUGGAUUCCGCAGACCAGACCCCGUCGUUUUUGACGGGAACGUGGCCGAGAAUUGGCGGAUUUUUGAACAGGAAUAUGAUAUCUUCAUAGCAGCGGCGCACUCAGACAAGCCUGCCAAAACAAAAGCGUACAUCCUGCUUAAUCUCGCGGGACCGGAGGCCAUCGAACGGGAGCGCUCGUUUGUUUACGCGGCGGAGGUGAGGGCGCCCGGUGGUGGAGACGGAGCCGUCGUGGUUCCAGCUGAAUCCAGAGAAAACCCGGAGUGUUUGAAACGGAAAUUUCGUGAAGUGUGUAACCCUCAACAACACAACAAAAGCAUGGAGAGACACAAGUUCCAUUCACGAAAUCAAAAGCAAGGUGAGACUAUUGAAUCCUACGUCAGUGACUUGAGGAUCAAAGCUGAAAGUUGUUACUUUGGAGACCUGACGGAGGAGCUGAUUUGUGACAGAAUAGUGUGUGGCAUCACGAAUGACAAUCUAAGAAAGGCGUUGCUACGUGACAGUGAAUUAACCCUAACGAAAGCCAUUGCUAUCUGCCGCAUGUAUGAAAUAACUGAGGAGAAUAAUAAGGCUCCAUCCCAGCCCCAAACGGCCGAGGCGGGUAUGGCUGCAGCCCGGAGCGUCCCAUGUCACGCAGUCCCGUCUCAUGCCGAUGCGUGUCCAACGGUACACAUCAGUGUCUUUAACAAAAAUAACACACCCCCGGUGACACGAUGCACGGUGUGCUGUACCGACCAUCAUUGCCCCCUUUGCCCCACUUCCAUAUACAAGCCCCGGUUUAGGGCAAAGGUUUUGCAGCACAUGGAGGUGCAUGUAAAGAAUGCCAUUCAACAUGAAGAUUUCUUCAUAACAAAAUGCCACCUGGCCUGCAGGAGUGGAAGCAGUGGUCACUUCCACUGCCCUUUCUGCCUCAAGACCACAAUAAAGAGGCAGGCCAUACUGAGGGUUUGCAGAUCUGUAGGCCACCUCUCCAUGACGCCCAGUUGGAUGCUGAUGCAGACUGCAGAGAGAUGGGCGUCAGUUCCCAGACAGAGGAGUGCAAAGCAGGAUCUGUGAGCCUACCUCAUAUCAGCCCUGACAAACUGCCUGUACCGGUACAUGAUGGUGAAAUACAUGGACAACGAGACCCAGCAGAGAGACCCCAAGACCCAAGGAAAAGGAGGAGGCAAAGGGGCCCAGGACAAUCCCUCCUCAACAGUCGGAACCUGUUGACCUGACUAUGGAGGGGAUUCACACACACCCGGUCCGAGACCCGGCGCUAAUACGGCACCGGUGCCUUAACCACCGUGAUCUACCGGACCGAAUAGCAACGCAGAUUUCGGUGCCUUA